UACGGGGGGGGCAAGCGUUGUUCGGAAUUACUGGGCGUAAAGGGCUCGUAGGCGGCCAACUAAGUCGGACGUGAAAUCCCUCGGCUUAACUGGGGAACUGCGUCCGAUACUGGAUGGCUUGAGUUCGGGAGAGGGAUGUGGAAUUCCAGGUGUAGCGGUGAAAUGCGUAGAUAUCUGGAGGAACACCGGUGGCGAAGGCGGCAUCCUGGCCCACUCUUGACGCUGAGGCGCGAAAGCUAGGGGAGCAAACGGG
rnacentral:rRNA from 1 species